rnacentral:tRNA from 1 species
GAAGAGAUAGCCCAAUGGUUAGAGCACUGGUUGCUCUUGCAGAGGACCUGGGUUCAGUUCCCAGUACCCUCA